GACGAACGCUGGCGGCGUGCCUAAUACAUGCAAGUUGAGCGCUGAAGGUUGGUACUUGUACCGACUGGAUGAGCAGCGAACGGGUGAGUAACGCGUGGGGAAUCUGCCUUUGAGCGGGGGACAACAUUUGGAAACGAAUGCUAAUACCGCAUAAAAACUUUAAACACAAGUUUUAAGUUUGAAAGAUGCAAUUGCAUCACUCAAAGAUGAUCCCGCGUUGUAUUAGCUAGUUGGUGAGGUAAAGGCUCACCAAGGCGAUGAUACAUAGCCGACCUGAGAGGGGGAUCGGCCACACUGGGACUGAGACACGGCCCAAACUCCUACGGGAGGCAGCAGUAGGGAAUCUUCUGCAAUGGACGAAAGUCUGACCGAGCAACGCCGCGUGAGUGAAGAAGGUGUUCGGAUCGUAAAACUCUGUUGGUAGAGAAGAACGGUGGUGAGAGUGGAAAGCUCAUCAAGUGACGGUAACUAACCAGAAAGGGACGGCUAACUACGUGC
rnacentral:rRNA from 1 species